AGAGUUUGAUCAUGGCUCAGAUUGAACGCUGGCGGCAGGCCUAACACAUGCAAGUCGAACGGUAACAGGAAGAAGCUUGCUUCUUUGCUGACGAGUGGCGGACGGGUGAGUAAUGUCUGGGAAACUGCCUGAUGGAGGGGGAUAACUACUGGAAACGGUAGCUAAUACCGCAUAAUGUCGCAAGACCAAAGAGGGGGACCUUCGGGCCUCUUGCCAUCGGAUGUGCCCAGAUGGGAUUAGCUUGUUGGUGGGGUAACGGCUCACCAAGGCGACGAUCCCUAGCUGGUCUGAGAGGAUGACCAGCCACACUGGAACUGAGACACGGUCCAGACUCCUACGGGAGGCAGCAGUGGGGAAUAUUGCACAAUGGGCGCAAGCCUGAUGCAGCCAUGCCGCGUGUAUGAAGAAGGCCUUCGGGUUGUAAAGUACUUUCAGCGGGGAGGAAGGGAGUAAAGUUAAUACCUUUGCUCAUUGACGUUACCCGCAGAAGAAGCACCGGCUAACUCCGUGCCAGCAGCCGCGGUAAUACGGAGGGUGCAAGCGUUAAUCGGAAUUACUGGGCGUAAAGCGCACGCAGGCGGUUUGUUAAGUCAGAUGUGAAAUCCCCGGGCUCAACCUGGGAACUGCAUCUGAUACUGGCAAGCUUGAGUCUCGUAGAGGGGGGUAGAAUUCCAGGUGUAGCGGUGAAAUGCGUAGAGAUCUGGAGGAAUACCGGUGGCGAAGGCGGCCCCCUGGACGAAGACUGACGCUCAGGUGCGAAAGCGUGGGGAGCAAACAGGAUUAGAUACCCUGGUAGUCCACGCCGUAAACGAUGUCGACUUGGAGGUUGUGCCCUUGAGGCGUGGCUUCCGGAGCUAACGCGUUAAGUCGACCGCCUGGGGAGUACGGCCGCAAGGUUAAAACUCAAAUGAAUUGACGGGGGCCCGCACAAGCGGUGGAGCAUGUGGUUUAAUUCGAUGCAACGCGAAGAACCUUACCUGGUCUUGACAUCCACGGAAGUUUUCAGAGAUGAGAAUGUGCCUUCGGGAACCGUGAGACAGGUGCUGCAUGGCUGUCGUCAGCUCGUGUUGUGAAAUGUUGGGUUAAGUCCCGCAACGAGCGCAACCCUUAUCCUUUGUUGCCAGCGGUCCGGCCGGGAACUCAAAGGAGACUGCCAGUGAUAAACUGGAGGAAGGUGGGGAUGACGUCAAGUCAUCAUGGCCCUUACGACCAGGGCUACACACGUGCUACAAUGGCGCAUACAAAGAGAAGCGACCUCGCGAGAGCAAGCGGACCUCAUAAAGUGCGUCGUAGUCCGGAUUGGAGUCUGCAACUCGACUCCAUGAAGUCGGAAUCGCUAGUAAUCGUGGAUCAGAAUGCCACGGUGAAUACGUUCCCGGGCCUUGUACACACCGCCCGUCACACCAUGGGAGUGGGUUGCAAAAGAAGUAGGUAGCUUAACCUUCGGGAGGGCGCUUACCACUUUGUGAUUCAUGACUGGGGUGAAGUCGUAACAAGGUAACCGUAGGGGAACCUGCGGUUGGAUCACCU
rnacentral:rRNA from 2 species